rnacentral:miRNA from 1 species
CGUUCCAGAAGUGCGUUUACA